GAUGAACGCUGGCGGCGUGCCUAAUACAUGCAAGUCGAGCGAACAGACGAGGAGCUUGCUCCUCUGACGUUAGCGGCGGACGGGUGAGUAACACGUGGAUAACCUACCUAUAAGACUGGGAUAACUUCGGGAAACCGGAGCUAAUACCGGAUAAUUUAUUGAACCGCAUGGUUCAAUAUUGAAAGACGGUUUUGCUGUCACUUAUAGUUGGAUCCGCGCCGCAUUAGCUAGUUGGUAAGGUAACGGCUUACCAAGGCAACGAUGCGUAGCCGACCUGAGAGGGUGAUCGGCCACACUGGAACUGAGACACGGUCCAGACUCCUACGGGAGGCAGCAGUAGGGAAUCUUCCGCAAUGGGCGAAAGCCUGACGGAGCAACGCCGCGUGAGUGAUGAAGGUCUUCGGAUCGUAAAACUCUGUUAUUAGGGAAGAACAAAUGUGUAAGUAACUAUGCACGUCUUGACGGUACCUAAUCAGAAAGCCACGGCUAACUACGUG
rnacentral:rRNA from 1 species